UACGAAGGGAGCUAGCGUUGUUCGGAAUCACUGGGCGUAAAGCGCACGUAGGCGGAUGUGUCAGUCAGGGGUGAAAUCCCGGAGCUCAACUUCGGAACUGCCUUUGAUACAGCACGUCUUGAGUCCGAUAGAGGUGGGUGGAAUUCCUAGUGUAGAGGUGAAAUUCGUAGAUAUUAGGAAGAACACCGGUGGCGAAGGCGGCCCACUGGAUCGGUACUGACGCUAAGGAGCGAAAGCGUGGGGAGCGAACAGG
rnacentral:rRNA from 1 species